CACAGAUGCUGUUUCCUUUGCCCAGCACACCUGUCACUCACCUCAACCCUUUCUCUCUUUUCCCCAUCUUUCUGUGGCUAGCUCCUCCUCAUUCUUUAGGUCUCAGUGUAGAUAGCACCACUAUCAGGAAGGAGUCCAGACACUGCCAGGCCUAAGGAAAUGUAAAUUAAAUGCUCUCAAGGGAUGAGAGACACUGGAAGCUGGGACGCUCUUGGAACUCUGUUGCCAUCAUCAAGGGCUUCCAGAUACAGCCCUCUAGGUCAUCCAGAGGUGCCAGCCAGCCCUCACCAGUGGUCAGCUUUUCCUCAGUGGAGUGGUAGGUGAGCCAGUGGAGCUUGCUCUGAAGAUACUAGAGGGAGCCAAAGCUGUCUGGCCCUUCAGUGUGACUCAGUUUCCAGACUCUUUCUCUUUAGACAUAAAUGAAGAACAAGUCAACCUUGAUGCCUUUGAGGGUUGGUUCAGCGGAUGAUGUGUUGUGGGGUUUUCCCACAGGUCAGCAGUCCAACUACCAGGGCCAGAGCCCCAUCAAAGAAUCUUCAGUGCCAGCCAGAAAGAAUGAUGAACUCCUCGUGUAAAGGGAGUUUGGGGCAACCAGUCAAACCAUGGCCUCAUGGGAAGCAGCUGACUAGGCAAUGAGAGAGGAAUACAAAAGACAAGGCACUGCGAAGCCAAGUCUGGUUGGGGAGAAGAAACCAAUAUGCCUGAAACAGGGAACCAGAAAGGACUCAGACAAAACUGCUGACAAGUAUGGGGUUUCUUGGGGUAGGUGGUGAAAAUAUUCCAAAAUAAGAUUAUAGCGAUGUUUUAAUAAUCCCCUGGAUAUAAUAAAAAAACAUCGAAUUGUACACUUCAAAUGAGUGAACUGUGUGGUAUGU
rnacentral:lncRNA from 10 species